GACGUACUCCCUCCGUUUCGAAUUAUUUGUCGCAAAUAUGGAUAUAUGUAGAUGUAUUUUAAUUCUAGAUACAUUCAUUUCUGUUGCGAGUAAUUUGGAACGGAGGGAGUAGAUA
rnacentral:pre_miRNA from 1 species